CUUUGUGCUAUAUACCUUUCACUUUGUGCUAUAUACCUUUCACUUUGAAAGGUAUAUAGCACAAAGUGAAAGGUAUAUAGCACAAAG
rnacentral:pre_miRNA from 1 species